AGAGGUGCCGGCUUUGCCUUUGCAUGCUAUCCCGCCUGUAAGCUAGAACUUGGUUCUCUCAGGAUUCCUUUUUGUUUUGUUUUCCUUUUCACUUCCUAAAUUGCCAUUUUUGAUUUGGGGAAAUUUGUUUCUGGGUUCAAUAAUCUCUCUGAUUGUGAAGGAGAAAACAGGCUUCGAGGAAGAUUGGCGUGUGAGAUUUGAUUGUUCUUGAAGAUUUUCUGUCUGGAUUCUCUGGGCGAAUUCUUCUAAGGGGGAAGGAAAGAGCAUUGGUGGGUUCCUCAAAUAACAAAUAGUACUUGUUUAAUUGCAGUCUAUGUCAUUUUUUCUUCUGCUUAUUGUUUUGCAGAUAAAACCUCUGGUAUAAAUAUUUUCUUUGCUUCUGGGUUUUUUAUAUCUAUAUUUCUUCCGAAACGGGGAGCUAGCUGCUGAUUGGUAUCUGAAGGAGUAGAGUAGAGCCUGAGUCAAUCAGGCUUGUUGACAUUAGUGCUGUCCACCAUUGAUGAUUUGUUAGUCCUAAAAGUGUUUCUCCUGUAUCAACAUGGAUAACACAUAUGGUGAAGAUCAGGAUGAAGUAAGUGUGGUGGGUUUUGAAGUUCCCCGGUCACCCGAUUUAAGUUACAACAACCCGUACCCCGGAAAUGAAGAUGAAGCAAGGGACCCACCUCUUCUCCCUUCCCACUUGCAACACACUUUGCUGAGCUUUCCAACAACCAGAGAUGCAUCUGGUGCACUUCCUUUACCACAACAUGUGAUUCUCAAUCAUCUCUACAUUGAGAACAGGGAGAGCCCACGAUCAGUAGUGGCCCUUGGAAUAACUCAUCGCUUUCGUUCGAAAUUUGUCACAGUUGUGCUUUACAAACCAAUUCAAAGAAGGGGAAGUACAAGUUGAGGUGUGUUUCAUAUUUCCUUUUAAUAGGGCUUGUUUUGUCCUCAUUUAUGAUGGGAAGAGUUUUGAUAGAACUUACAGGAGAUAAUAGCCAAGGUUGUUUAUCUUAUACUUGGCUUUGGUGCCAAGUUCUGAUAGAACUUAGGUUAAUAUUAUUGGCUUUGAUGCUUAUCUUAUACUUGAUUCUUCCAAGGAGUAGCACAAAGGGUAGUAGAAUUGCAAUAUAUUUACAAAGAUGUCUCCUCCAUGUUUUCUUUAAUUGGGAGGAGGGGCUUGUUCACGAGUUCAUAUGGAAUUAUUGAAAUGUAUGCAAGUAUACACAACAAGAACUUGGCAGAUAGAGGAUGCAUGAUUGAAAACUUCUACAUAUUCUCAUGUCAUUUGACCUCACAUCAGUUGGCAAUAUAUAGAUCAUGCAAGUGUGCCCUAUGUGGGCUAGUUUCAA